AUUGAACGCUGGUGGCAGGCCUAACACAUGCAAGUCGAACGAGUGGCGGACGGGUGAGUAAUGUCUGGGAAACUGCCUGAUGGAGGGAGAUCACUUCUGGAAACGGUAGCUAAUACCGUAUACCAUCAUAUGUGCCCAGAUGGGAUGAGCUUGUGGGUGGGGUAGAGUCUCACCAAGGCGACGAUCCCUAGCUGGUCUGAGAGGAUGACCAGCCACACUGGAACUGAGACACGGUCCAGACUCCUACGGGAGGCAGCAGUGGGGAAUAUUGCACAAUGGGCGCAAGCCUGAUGCAGCCAUGCCGCGUGUAUGAAGAAGGCCUUCGGGUUGUAAAGUACUUUCAGCGGGGAGGCGUUACCCGCAGAAGAAGCACCGGCUAACUCCGUGCCAGCCGCCGCGGUAAUUC
rnacentral:rRNA from 1 species